CAGUCGCCACGGUAAUACGUAGGGUGAGAGCGUUAAUCGGAAUUACUGGGCGUAAAGCGUGCGCAGGCGGUUCGUUAAGACAGAUGUGAAAUCCCCGGGCUUAACCUGGGAACUGCAUUUGUGACUGACGGGCUAGAGUAUGGCAGAGGGGGGUAGAAUUCCACGUGUAGCAGUGAAAUGCGUAGAGAUGUGGAGGAAUACCGAUGGCGAAGGCAGCCCCCUGGGCCAAUACUGACGCUCAUGCACGAAAGCGUGGGGAGCAAACAGGAUUAGAUACCCCAGUAGUCCCUGUCUCUUAUAC
rnacentral:rRNA from 1 species